AAAAAAAUAAUUUUUUUUUAAUCACUUUUCACCUUUUUUCAUUUUUCACCCACGCCCUAUAUUAUACUUUAAAUAUCUAUUGACCACCAGAGUCAAUUGACGCGAGUACGAUAUAAUUUUUUUAUUUUCUCCUCUUCGAUGUACCACGCCUCUGCGGUGUAGGUGUUAAUUAGUUUUAUUCGUUGAUUUUGUUUGAAUCUGUUUUUUUUUUUUUUUCUUUUUUCUUCGUUUAAACGAAAAAAAAGAAGAAAAAUAUAAUCAAUCUUGUUUUUUUUUUUUUUUUUUUUUUU
rnacentral:misc_RNA from 1 species